rnacentral:rRNA from 1 species
UACGGAGGGGGCUAGCGUUGUUCGGAUUUACUGGGCGUAAAGGGCGCGUAGGCGGCCACCGCAAGUCGGUUGUGAAAUCUCCGGGCUUAACCCGGAAAGGUCAAUCGAUACUGCGGGGCUAGAGUGCAGAAGGGGCAACUGGAAUUCUCGGUGUAGCGGUGAAAUGCGUAGAUAUCGAGAGGAACACCGAUGGCGAAGGCGGGUCUCUGGGCCGAUACUGACGCUGAGGAGCGAAAGCGUGGGGAGCGAACAGG